rnacentral:rRNA from 1 species
UACGUAGGGGGCAAGCGUUGUCCGGAUUUAUUGGGCGUAAAGAGCGUGUAGGCGGCCAAGCAGGUCCGCUGUGAAAACUCGAGGCUCAACCUCGAGACGUCGGUGGAAACCGUUUGGCUAGAGUCCGGAAGAGGAGAGUGGAAUUCCCGGUGUAGCGGUGAAAUGCGCAGAUAUCGGGAAGAACACCCGUGGCGAAGGCGGCUCUCUGGGGCGGUACUGACGCUGAGACGCGAAAGCGUGGGGAGCGAACGAGG